CAUGAUAUCUCUGUCUUAGGAGCUACUAAAUUGAGCCUGCCUCCUGUUGCUGAACUCUCGUUUUUUGGAUUGCAAUGUGGUGGAAUUGCAGGAUAUCAAGACAGGCCGGUUAAAAAGGUUUUCUCUCAGUUUAGUCUCUAUCAGAUGCAGUGCCAAGUAUCUUCCAGAUAAAUAUGUCCUGCAUUGCUCUUGUCCGCUGCCUCAAGUUGAGGAUGUUAAACUCUCUGAGUUGUCCCUGUUUGCAGAUGACAUGAUUGUGUAUUUAGAAAACCCCAUUGUCUCAGCUCAAAAUCUCCAUAAGCUGAUAAGCAACUUCAGCAAAGUCUCAGGAUACAAAAUCAGUGUGCAAAAAUCAUAAGCAUUCCUAUACACCAAUAACAGACAAACAGCCAAAUCAUGAGUGAACUCCCAUUCACAAUUGCUAAAAAGGGAAUAUAAUACCUAGGAAUCCCACUUACAAGGGAUGUGAAGGACCUCUUCAAGGAGAAUUACAAAACACUGCUCGACAAAAUAAAAGAGGACACAAACAAGUGGAAGAACAUUCCAUGCUCAUGGAUAGGAAGAAUCAAUAUCGUGAAAAUGGCCAUAUUGCCCAAGGUAAUUUAUAGAUUCAGUGCCAUCCCCAUCAAGCUACCAAUGACUUUCUUCACAGAACUGGAAAAAACUACUUUAAAGUUCAUGUGGAACCAAAAAGAGCCCUUAUUGCCAAGUCAAUCCUAAGCAUAAAGAACAAAGCUGGAGGCAUCAUGCUACCUGACUUCAAACUAUACUACAAGGCUACAGUAACCAAAACAGUAUGGUACCGGUACCAAAACAGAGAUAUAGACCAAUGGAACGGAACAGAGGCCUCAGAAAUAACAACACACAUCUAUAACCAUCUGAUCUUUGACAAACCUGACAAAAACAAGAAAUGGGGAAAGGAUUCCCUAUUUAAUAAAUGGUGCUGGGAAAACAGGCUAGUCAGAUAUAGAAAGCUGAAACUGGAUCCCUUCCUUACACCUUAUACAAAAAUUAAUUCAAGAUGGAUUAAAGACUUAAAUGUUAGACCUAAAACCAUGAAAACCGUAGAAGAAAACCUAGGCAAUACCAUUCAGGACAUAGGCAUGGGCAAGGACUUCAUGACUAAAACACCAAAAGCAAUGGCAACACAAGCCAAAAUUGACAAAUGGGAUCUAAUUAAACUAAAGAGCUUCUGCACAGCAAAAGAAACUACCAUCAGAAUGAACAGGCAACUUACAGAAUGGGAGAAAAUUUUUGAAAUCUACCCAUCUGACAAAGGGCUAAUAUCCAGAAUCUACAAAGAACUUAAACAAAUUUACAAGAAAAAAACAACCCCAUCACAAAGUGGGCAAAGGUUAUGAACAGACACCUCUCAAAAGAAGACAUUUAUGCAGCCAACAGACACAUGAAAUAAUGCUUGUCAUCACUGAUCAUCAGAGAAAUGCAAAUUAAAACCACAGUGAGAUACCAUCUCACACCAGUUAGAAUGGCAUCAUUAAAAAGUCAGGAAACAACAGAUGCUGGAGAGGAUGUGGAGAAAUAGGAAUGCUAUUAUGCUGUUGGUUGGAAUGUAAACUAAUUAAACCAUUUUGGAAGACAGUGUGGCAAUUCCUCAAGGAUCUAGAGCUAGAAAUAUCAUUUGACCCAGCAGUCCCAUUACUGGGUAUAUACCCAAAGGAUUAUAAAUCAUGCUGCUAUAAAGACACAUGCACACAUAUGUUUAUGGCAGCACUAUUCACAAUAGCAAAGACUUGCAACCAACCCAAAUGUCCAUCAAUGAUAGACUGGGUUAAGAAGAUGUAGCACAUAUAUACCAUGGAAUACUAUGCAGCUGUAAAAAAGGGUGAGUUCCUAUUCUUUGCAGGGACAUGAAUGAAGCUGGAAACCAUCAUUCUGAGCAAACUAUCACAAAGACAGAAAACCAAACACUCCAGGUUCUCACUCAUAGGUGGAAACUGAACAAUGAGAACACUUGGACACAGGGUGGGGAACAUCAAACACUGGGGCCUGUUGUGGGGUGGGGGGUCUGGGGAGGGAUAGCAUUGGGAGAAAUACCUAAUGUAAAUGACAGGUUGAUGGUUGCAGCAGACCAGCAUGGCAUAUGUAUACCUAUGUAAUGAGCCUGCAUGUUGUGCACAUGUACCCUAGAACUUAAAAGUAUAAUAGUAAAAUGUGCCAUGUAAUCAGUGAGGUCUCAGUCAGACUUCCAAUUAGGGGAUCCUGUGUGAUGAUUGCCUGUAACAAUCUGAUCAUCUAAAAGUCACUUUAGUCACAUGGAGGAAGAUUUAGACAGUGACUUUGGGUCAGUAUUGUGUUUUUUGCUGAGGAUAUAGAGUAAAAUAAGACACAGCUUCUGCCACCAGUGGGCUUAUAGAUUUAACAGGCAUAGAGGAGCAUGGCAACAAAUGGCAUGGUAUGAUCAAGGUGCUUUGGGGCAAGGGGAGGUGGGGAAGUUGAGCAGGUUUCACUCCAUGAGCUGUACGUGGCCAGGGGUUUGAAGGAUGCAUGGACAGUUGCCAGGGAAGUAGGAGUGGAAGAUGGGGCAGGACAUGAGGGAGGGGUGGGGGCAGCCUACCGCUGUUUGAAGGUAAACAUGUAUGUUUUGUUUGAAGGAGGAGGUUGGGGAGAAGAGGAUAGAAUUGUGGGAAGUUUCUCCAGGACAGUUGUGGGACGGGUAGUAGGGAAGGAGUAAGGGUCAAAGCCAGAGUUAAGGAAGCAUUUGGGGCAGGAUGGAGAUAUUGUUGGACCUACCUUUUUUAUUGAUUGCGCUAGAGAGUGGAGAUAGAGGGAGCUGGGACUGGAGGUGGAGGAACUGGCUCAGGUCCUGCUGUUGGAGUGGAGGUUAGAUGUAUUGAAGCAGAAGCAGAAAUGAGCUUUGAGGUUUAGGGGGCAAAGUAAUUAGGCUUGGGGGUUGACUCUCAGUGGGAAGAGAAGUGUAGGUGGAACUGGGGAGAGGGCGCAGUCUCUGAGACAUUUCAGUGAAUAUGCCUGUGUUCUGGCCACCCAGGCUGGGGUUCCGAGAUAACUAAGACAUGGCCUUUGCUUUACAGAACCUGAUAGAUAGGGAUAGGAGAGGUGGGAGACUGAGAACAGAUGAAAGGGUUGGUGAGCAGUGUGAGGGCCUGGAGCAAUCAGAAAUCCUGAGUUCGUAAAGAUGCCAAUCUUUUGCACCAGUUGUUCAGCAUUGGAUUAGAGCCUUGAUUCAAGGUUGGGAUUAGAGGGCAGGUGUGGGAACAACCUGGUGCUCAGAAAUAAAAGUUGUUAGGCUCAGUUAAUGAAAGUAUAAAUUGAUAUGGGUGGCUUUUAGACUUUGGUAGUCACAGUGGCUGGAAAUCUUCCUUUGUUCCUCCGGACCCGCUCUUGUCCCUUUUCCAGUCCCCUCUGUGACCCAGGAGGCUGAGCUGAGUGGACUUUCUUGCCCUCUGGCUUCUAGUUAGGGUCGGCCAUUGGGGAAGCCCCAGUGAGAGAACAAGAGGGUGGGCAGCUCCAUUCCUGCCAGGUCACUGUGGGCUGGCUGCUUCCCUUUCCUAAAGUCCACAGCUCUAGCCCUAUGUACUCAUCUCCCUUGUAUUUUUUUUUUUUUUUUUUGAGAUGGAGUUUUGCUCUUGUCACCCAGGUUGGAGUACAGUGGUGCGAUCUUGGCUCACUGCAACCUCCGCCUCCAGGGUUCAAGUGAUUCUCCUGCCUCAGCCUCCCGAGUAGCUGGGAUUACAGGUGCACGCUACCACGCCCGGCUAACUUUUUGUAUUUUUAGUAGAGACGGGGUGUUGCCAUGUUGGGCAGGCUGGUCUUGAACUCCUGACCUCAGGUGAUCCACCAGCCUCGGGCUCCCAAAGUGCUGAGAUUACAGGCGUGAGUCACCGCGCCCGGCCAUCUCCCCUGUAUUAAGGUCACUCCUUUACCUGGCCUGUUGGGUCUCAAACAAUGGCAAGGGAUUGCCGCUGUUAGGACCAUUGUCCCUUGAUGGUUUACUGCCAAAGUUUGGACUAAUAAAGACAGAAAUAUUUGCCUGCAUGACUCAGUAUCUACAUACACACACACAUACAACAAACCCCCGUGCCCCACCCCCAGCCUGAAACAAAAGUUUCAGGAGAGUACUUACCUUUGCUGUGAAUGAUGCCCUCAGAUUUCUAAAUUCUAUUUUGUUUCACUGAAAAAGUAGUUGGGGUGUGCUAAAUUGAUUUCACUAAUGGGUUAGGGCCCAUAGUAAAAAAACCACUGGAGCUUCCUGAUGUUUAUGGACACAGGAUGGACCAUCAGAUCAAGUGACUCAGAAAUCCUCACAGCGCUAAGAUCUGAUUGCUUAUAGAUUUAUCCAAAGUGUGAGGCUGAAGUUAAGCUUCUAAAAUGAACUUAAACUCCUAAAAUCAAAUGACAUUGUAGGUGUUAAUAGGUGAAUUUUUCUGUGGAUUAUAAUGCCACGUACCUUAUAUGUGUAAUAGAGAUAAUUUUUGGAUCUUGAGACUUGUGUAUGGCUAGUGUGUGAGCUAAGAGUCAUCCUGGCCCAGAAGUCGCUGUGGCUUUAUAAAAUCUUCGAGAAACUGAAAGAGUUUUACUUGUCAUCUUGUUUUUCUUUUGUCAUGACAUGGUGAUAGUAUUGGUAACUUUAAAUAUUAGGUCUGGAUUACUUCCUUUUGUAGCAAAGAGAUGAGGAAGUGUAAGAUGGAUAAAUAAUCCUUGCCUCUGUAUUUAUAGACACAUUUAUAGAGAUUCAGUGGGCUUGAGUUUUGACAGCAGUGUUUGAUCAGAAACAUUUUCCCAGAACCUUAAAAAAAAACUGCAGUUCAAAUAUUUCUAAUAAAAAAAAUUUUUUUUUUUCGUUGCUGUAACUAGAUUUGCAUUUCCGAUUUUUCUCUCUCUUGUUUCACUUUUGUCUGUGGCUGAGGAAGGGCCACUUGGGAAAUGCAGCUGUGGGUCGUAAGGAGUCCCUCACUCUAUCGCUCUGUGUUUCCUGGGGCUGCCAUGACAAUGUACCACAAACUGGGUGGUUUAAAACAAGAGAAAUUUAUUUUCUCACAGUUCUAAAGUCUGUAGAUUCAAAUUUAAGGUGUUGGCAGGGCCACGCUUCCUUCAAAACCUCUAGAGAAGGAUUCUUUCUUGCUUCUUCCAGCUUCUGGCAGCCCAGGGCAUUUCUGAGCUAUGGCAGCAUAACUCCAAUCUCUGCCUCCGUUUUUACAUGCCGUCUUCCCGCUGUCUCUCUCUCUCUCUCUCUCUCUCUCUCUCUCUCUCUCUCUCUCUCUCUUUCUCUCUUCUCCCUUUAUAAGGACACCAGUCAUACUGGAUUAGGGUCCACCCUAAUGACCUCGUCUUAAUUUGAUUCCAUCUGUAAAGACUCUGUUUCUAAAUAAGGUCACAUUCAUAGGUAUGGGUGGGGGGGACUGGGAUCUCAACAUACUGUGUUUUGGAGGAUAACACACUUCAACCCAUAAUAAUGGCAAUUUGUUUUUAAUGCAUUUUUUCUUGCUUUUCCACUAAGACACAUUGGGGGAAUUCUGUUGAUUUCCCCAUUGCCUUUCUUACAAUGUUACUCUCUUUAUUUCUUAUAUUUUUGCUCCAAAAUAGUCCACAUAUAAUAAUCAUUCUGUAUUAUUGAGAAUUGAAGGUUAUUGGUGUGAUUGACUUAUCUACUACCUUCUCCAUGUAAACAUUUUGGUAUCUGCUUCCUUGUUCUCAUUUACCUUUUCAGUUGACACUUUUGAGACUCAUGUAUGUCCUAAAUUCUAUCUCAUGUCACAUCCUUUGUGGUCUGCUUUAUUUUUUAUUUUUUGAGACGGAGUCUUGCUCUGUCACCCAGGCUAGAGUGCAGUGGCGCUAUGUCGGCUCACUGCCAGAUCCACCUCCCGGGUUCACGCCAUUCUCCUGCCUCAGCCUCCCGAGUAGCUGGGACUACAGGCACCCGCCACCAUGCCCGGCUAAUUUUUUUGUAUUUUUAGUGGAGACGGGGUUUAACCGUGUUAGCCAGGAUGGUCUCGAUCUCCUGACCUUGUGAUCUGCCCACCUCAGCCUCCCAAAGUGCUGGGAUUGCAGGCGUGAGCCACUGCGCCCGGCCAGUGGUCUGCUUUAUUAAGCAUUGAUUGAAGCCCAGUGGCUGGUAUGGAUUACAUUGCUAUUCAGUCUGUAAUUACGUUCUUUUACAGGUGGCAGGUGGAGUGUUUUGGAGCAUGUGUCAUGUCCCCCACGUAGCUCAGUUCCUUUCCUUCGGGGCUUCACAUGCAUACAUUUUGAAAUGAAGAAAGCCAUAAGCAGGUGCCAGAUGAGUUUCCUGGGCACUCAGAAGGAAGAGAGCCUGCAGUAGGCUGGAAUGGCCAAGUGGGAAAAUGGACAGAAUUUAGACAAAUGCAGUAGAGGAUGAGGGAGAGUGUAUCAUGUGGCAGAGAUGAUGGAAGUACAAGCAUUGUAGUAGUUCUUAAUUUGUUGAUCCUAACACCCCUUUGCCCUCAUAUUUUCUUAGAAGACCUGAGGGAACGUUUCAUGUGCGUUAUAUCUAUAUUUAUCAUAUUAUAAAUCAAAAAUGAGAAAUUAAAAAAUAUGUUCAAUUGAUUUAAAAUAACAAAGUGCCCAUUACAAGUUAAAAUACUUAUUUUUAGGAAAAAUAACUACAAAACAAAAAAAAAUGUGGUGAGAACCAUAGCACUAUAUACCAUUUUUUUGCAAAUCUCUUUAAUGUUUGGCUUAUUAGCUGGAUUCUCAAAUCUGCUUUCUCAUUCAAUCUGUUGCAAUGUUGUUUUGAUUUAAAUAUAUGAAGAAAAUCCUGCCUCAUACAGAUAUGUAGUUGGAAAGGGAGAAGCAUUUUAAUAGCUUCGUCAGAUAAUUGUAGAUAUGCUUUUUGUAGAUAUACUACAUGAAAAUUCAGUAAGUUAUAGUUUCUUUUUCUUGCUUAAAAAUACAUUUAUUAUAUCACAGUUUCUAUGGGUUAGCAGUCUGCACACAGCUUAGCUGGGUCCUUUUCUUAGACUCACCAGGCUGCAAUCAAGAUAUCGCCUAGGCUAUGCUCUCAUCUGGAGGCUUGACUGGGAAGAAUCUGCUCCAAGCUAACUCAGGUUGCUAGCAGAACGCUUUCCUUGUUUCUGUAGGAUUGAGGGGCCUAGCUUUUUUCUGGCUACUAGCUAGAGGCCACCUUCAGCUCCUGGAGGCCACCCUUCUUUCCUAGAGGUCACCUGCAGUUUCUUGUCAUGUGGGCUUUCUUAACCCAACUGCUUACUUUAUCCAGCCAGCAAGGAGUCUCUAGAGCAAGUCAGCUCGCAACACGGAGUAUUAUAUAAUACAACAUAAUCAUGGGAGUGACAUUUCAACAUGGUUUCUUAAAGGUUCAUUGCAAUGUUGAAUUUGGAAUCACAACCAAUGAAAUAUUCAUACUCCAUUACAAUGCAUUGGUUCAUGUGGUACUUUGACUGAUCUUGUAUUCCUGUGUGAUUUAAUACCAUACAUUGGUCAUUUGGAAACUAUUAGUUCACUGAGUUGUAUCAGUUUUCCAAACGUUGACAUAUUUCAUUAUAUAAUAUCAAAAACUACGCAUAUUAACAUUACUAUCAAUUUCAUCAGAAACAUCUAAGUAUUGAGAAGCUAUCAAGCUCACAGUGGUGGAUACAGGUGUUAAAAAUUUUUAAUUUUUGGAUUAUGAUUGACAACAAAUGCUGUCAUCUGUUUUCCUUCAAGUGCCGAGGUGUACAUCAUUCAUUCUCAAGAAAUACCUAUCAAAAUCUCAAGAAUAAAUAUCCAGAGUUCAUCUGCCAGUCAUUCCCUUCAAGCAAAAAUGGUGCACCAUAAAAAAACCAGUUAGUUCAGCCUGCAGCUCAGUCAGUCAAUCAAUCAGAGGAGUGCUUUUCUCUGAGGUGACCACUGUACUUCAGUAUGCGGCAGAAUGCUUUAUGUGUACUUCCCAUUUCCUUACACACAAUGUCAAAAACAUGUGAAAUCAAAGGUCAAGAGAUAAUGAAAUUUUACCUGCUUCAUCAAGGGCAUGCUUACAUUAUUUUUUAACUACCAAUGAGUGGCAGUGAAUAAUAUUAAUACAAUGACUGCUAGUAUAGUUUAGUGUCACUACCUCCAUUCAAGCUAAGGCAUCAGUAGUGCCAGUGUUGAACAUAGUUGUUUCAAGGAUAAACCAUGAGAUUCCAAAAGUUAUUAGACACAUUGACUGUUUAAGCACCAGUGUUUAUUUUCAGAAUUUCACAUUUAAAAAAAAUCUUCAAUCAGCAUCAGCACCAAUUAGUCAUUUUAUAAUCCAUUUGUAAGGCAAAGGUACAGCUCUGCAGUUGGGAUGUGAACUCAGUCGUCAUGUUUGUAGACAAACCUUUCAUUUGAGGAGUUACUGUGUCAUUAGGAAAUGGCACUGCCAUGUUUUUUUUAAACUAACUUAUCCAGCAGGCCUUCAGCAAUGUCAGUGGUACAAAGUUUUCUUAGUGUCUCAGUUACUGUGUGUUUUUCUCCAGCUAAUGCAGUAUGAUACCCUAUAAGGUCUUUCAGUGGCUUUUUCUCUUCUCUCUUGAAAAACUACAACAACGUUUGUCUUAUAAAGUUCUCAUCAUGUCUGCAUUAAAAAAAAUCAAUUCCUUUUCCUUUAAAUCCUUAGUGAUUAUUUUCAAAAUGAUGUUGCAACUGAACUAUUUGAAAAUAUUCUGUUGCGUAAGACAUAGUAUAAAUUACUAAAUAUCUAUAAAGACAAGGUAAAGACAACUUUGUUAAUGUUUUUGUUUAUUUAUAAUUUUCCUCAGGGUUGUUUUGAUUUUUUUUCUUAAGUAGUUGCUUCCCUUCCAUGGAUCAGAGGCCUCUAAUGUGUCAGUUUCAUCUUUUUUAGUAUCUUUAGGCAUAAAAAGUAUGUAUACCUGUGGGUAGGAAAGCAGGCUUUCUAAACCUCUUUUUUUUUUUUUUUGAGACGGAGUCUCGCUCUGUUUCCCAGGCUAGAGUGUAGUGGUGCGAUCUUGGCUCACUGCAACCUCCGCCUCCCAGGUUCAAGUGACUCUCCUGCCUCAGCUUCCCAAGCAGCUGGGAUUACAGGUGCCCACCACCACGCCCAGCUAAUUUUUGUAUGUUUAGUAGAGACGGGGUUUCAUCAUGUUGGCCAUGCUGGUCUUGAACUCCCAGCCUCAGGUGAUCUGCAACCCCUUAGCCUCCCAAAGUGCUGGGAUUACAGGCUUGAGCCACUGUGCCCAGGCUCUAAUCCUCCUCUUUUAUGUUGGAUUUUUUUUUCGUUAAAACGUACAUAACAUAAAAUGUUCCAUUUUAAGUGUAUAGUUCAGUAGCAUUAAGUAUAUUCAUAUUGUUGUGCAACUGUCGCCACCACCCACCUACAAAACUUGUUCAUCUUCCCAAACUGAAACUCCAUACCCAUUAAAUAAUAACUCCCUAUUCCCCACUCCCCCAGGCUCUGACAACCACCAUUUACUUUCUGUCUAUGAAUUUGACUACUCUAGAUACCUCAGAAGUGGAAUCGUGCACUAUCUGUCCUUUUGUGACUUUAUUAUUUCAUUUAGCGUAAUAAUGUCUUUGGUUAAUUCAUGUUGUAUCAUGUUUCAGAAUUUCCUUCCUUAUCAAGGUUAAAGAAUAUUUCUUUGUAUGUAUGUACCACAUUUUGUUUAUUCAUUUAUCCAUUGAUGGAUGCUUGGUUCCUUCCACUUUUGGUUAUUGCAAAUAGUGCCACUGUGAACAUGAGUGUACAAGUGUCUGUUCUACUCUCUGCUUUCACUAUUUUCGGGUGUAUACCCAGAAGUAGAAUUGCUGGAUUAUAUAGUAAUUCUAUGUUUUAUUUUUUGAGGAAUCCCCCUACUGUCUUCCACAAUGCUGUAUCAUUUUACAGUCCCAUCAUCAGUGAGCAAAGGUUUCAAUUUCUUCCUAUCUCUGCCAACAUUUAUUUCUGUUUUAAUAGCCAUUCUAAUGGGUGUGAAGUGUCUAAUCUCUUUUAAGGCAACAAUCCAUCUUUAAAUAUAAAAAGUUAGAUAUUUAUUUUAGAAUGAUAUAGUAAAUUCUAAAUUAUAGUUUUCAUACAACUAAAAUAUUUAGAAUAAUUUUUGAAAAGAUUUAAAAUACUAUUGUAAAUCUGUGAAAUGACAAAUCAAAAGGGCAAAUAACCUUUUAGACUUGAGAAAGAGUUUUGACUUUGCAGAUUUUCAAAAAAGGUAUUGGGAUACCUAGGGGUUUGUAGACCAUACCUGAAGAACUGCUUGAUGAAAUAUAGUAUUAGAAACAUGGUCUCAGCUUCUCAUGAAACUCUUUCCAUAGGUGGAUAAAUAAUGAUUUCUUUUGAUUUACAAAUUUGUUUACUAAGAACUUAAAAAAUGUUUUUUCACAUUCUACAACAAAGAUUUUAUUUAACAAUAACAGAAAAAGAAAUAACAAAUCAGUUGCCAUGGAAUUAAAGUUGGGAAAGAAGAAUGUUUUGUUCUUGACUGGGAAACCAUUUAGAACUGGCAAUAGAAGGCAGGAAUAAAUUGUACUUUUCUGACAAUAGGAAUGUUUUAAGUCUGUUCUUAAUCUUUAAAAAAAUUUUUUUAAGAUCAUUUAAGGAGGGUGUAUGUAUCAGUUUUCAAGUUAAGAGAUUUCUCUGAAGCAGCAAUUACAACACUUAUUUAAAAUAUUUGAAAUAUGUUGUUAGAAUACCAAUUAGGUAAUUACAAGAAAUUAUUGAAAUUUCAUUCAAGAAAAAAUUACAGGCUGGUUUCGGUGGCUGACACCUGUAAUCCCAGAACUAUGGGAGGCCCAGGUGGAUGGAUCACUUGGGGUCAGGAGUUUGAGACCAACCUGGCCAAUAUGGUGAAACCCUGUCUCUACUAAAAAUACAAAAAUUAGCCAGAUGUGGUGGUGUGUGCCUUUAAUCCCGACUACUCGGGGGGCUGAGGUAGGGGAAUCAAUUGAACCUGGGAGGCAGAGGUUGCAGUGAGCUGAGAUUGCGCCACUGCCCUCCAGCCUGGGUGACAGAGUGAGACUGUCUCAGGAAAAAAAAAAAAAAAUUGCAGGAAAACUCAGGCAUAUUAUUUUGUUUUAUAACCCAAAUAUAUCAUUGCUUUAAAUGACAUACCAAAACCCAUCAGCAUUUAAAUAAGCUUAUUUCUUUUUCUUCCCAUCAGCCAUCUACUGAAUAUUGGGAGUGUGGUGCUGAACCGCAGCCUCACCUGAGGUCAGGGGAAGACUCAGUUUUUUUGCUUUCACUGCACAGUUUGCAUAUUUAAACAUUCUUGAAAAGAAUUGCUCUAAAUAUCACUAAUUAUCUCCAUGCGUAUAGCUCUUAUCUUUUAUUUUUCAUGAAACCAAAGGUUGUGAUCUCUCAUCUUUACAAUAUGACAUCUUUUUACUUAGAUUUAGAUGCUAUAUGAAACCGUAAUGCCUCUCUUUAAGCUCCAAUUCAGAUAGUAGAUUUGGAUAGCAUAAAUGUUUAAUACUGUAUGUAAAUGUCCACAUAUAGGUUGAAAUUAUAAGAUGUGUAACAUAGAGUAGUAAUCAUCAAAUAGGUGACAGAUAUCCAUGUGGCUAUUCAUUGGGGAAUGUGACUGUGAAUCACUGUAUUAAAUUCACCUCCUGCAGUCAUGGGCUAGGCGGUGUCCAUUGGUGCUGCCUAGCAUUCUUAGUUUUGGCCAUUUUGUUUAGGUAGAUAGUUGUCUAUUAAGCAAGAUACUUACUGUGUGUUUUGUAACUAAAAAUUGUUUGAGAGAAAUUUUAGAUCUUCCCUUUGGUUUCAACAUUAUGAAGUAUGAAAUUAUGAAUAGUGCUUUAGAUUGUCCCAUGCAGUUAAUGAUGAAAACCAGUUGGAGAAGGUGAUGAGAGCACUCUAAGAAAACUACUUAUUUGUGCAAAAAAGUGGGGAGAUGAUGCUUAAUGUGGGGAUGCUUCAUUGCACAUUGGGCCACUUGUUGCUAUAGUCUCAAAGAUCAUGAUGUUAAACAUCAUCAAGAUGAUACAAAAUCAAACCUUUCUCUGAACGUUUGCCAUCCUGUCUCCUGUUUGGGCCUGGAAUAUUGAGCUGAGAUUUUGUAAGUGUGUGGCAAAAUUUAUAACGGGGCUACAAGACACUCAGAGUAAUGGUUCCAAUGACUGGAGGUGUGUGUGCUGAUCAUUACUGUUGGAGUCAAGAUAUUGGGGCCUCCUUUGUGAAGGCAAGGUCUGAAAGGGAAUGAAAUUUCAUAGAUGAAGGCUACAAAGUCACAAAAUGUACAGUAAAGUAUGAAUUCACAUCUGCAAGGGAGAGCUUGUUGUACUCUGAGUGAGCCAAGUCUUGCUUCCAGUGAGUGUCUGGUUCAUUCCUCACAUAGGCAGCAUAGGUGGGAAGUAUAAAGAACUUGGCUGUGUUUAUGAAAGAGACAGCUUUAACUUCUCAGUGGGGCUGGACUGUAGCUCACCUUUAGGGUUGAUGUUGGGAAGACAAAUAGGCUGCUUUGUGCCGCCUUCUGUAUUAGCAAGGCAAAGAACAGCUUGACAGUUUCUUUGCUCUUCUGACAUGAUUCUGUCCAUCUAGCUGGAAUAGGGGGCUCAAUUUCUGAGGACAGGUAGCUGAGAAUAUUGUGGUUUGGGGACCUCUCAAAAAUACGGAGAGUCUUGUUUGCCUGGAUAGGAGCUCUAUUCCAAAGGUGAGGGAAGGAAGUGAUAAUGACUUGUUAAAAGCAACCUUUUAGGUAGAUUGACCAGGGGCAGAGUUUACAGGAUGAAUGGGAAAUGAGAAAGAGUGAAGUUCAAACAGGUAAGCUGUUGUAACUGAGGUGUAUAAGCUGUUAUAACUGAGGUGUAUGAGCUGUUGUAACUGAGGUGUAUAAGCUGUUGUAACUGAGGUGUAUAAGCUGUUGUAACUGAGGUGUAUAAGCUGUUGUAACUGAGGUGUAUAAGCUGUUGCAACUGAGGUGUAUAAGCUGUUGUAACUGAGGUGUAUAAGCUGUUGCAACUGAGGUGUAUAAGCUGUUGUAACUGAGGUGUAUAAGCUGUUGUAACUGAGGUGUAUAAGCUGUUAUAACUGAGGUGUGUAAAUCCGGCUGCUGUUAGUUCUGAUUUCUGGAUACUUUAUUUCUACUACUUCAGGCAAUAUUUAGAGUAGAAAAUCCACUAACUUGCAUUGGCUGGCAAAGAAGGUGAAAUAGAUCCAUGUGGGGUUUUGGGAAAAACACUGAACUUGGCAUCUGGCCCUGGGGAUAGCCCUGACUCUUCUAUGAAUAUGAACUAGCUCUGAAACCGUGGGCAAGGCCCUUGAACUCUCAAGACCUCAGGCAUAGAGUAGCUUAUCUCUAAAGCUCAUCCCCAGCCAUAAGAGUGUUUUCUAGUGUCUUAUUUAUUACUUUCAAGUACACAUUUCUAAGUACUAAUAACUUUUACAUGCUGCCAAGGAGUGGUCUUUUAGGGGCCUAUUAUGAUGAAGUAUGAUGAAUAGAUAACUCAUUUGUAAUUAACUGUGUGUAUGUCCAUGCAAACAAUUUCUGAGCUCUAAGUUUCUCAUAAUAAUUCCCUUCCCAUAAGUAGGGUUAAGCCCUUGAAAUUUUGUUUGCAUUUUUAAUUUAUACGGAAAAUGAAUUUUUCUGAGAUACCUAUAUCUCGUCUCCCUAAUUAGAUUGUAACCUCCUUGAAAGCAUUUUGCUUUGUUUUGUUGUUUGCUUUUUGGUUUUAAUCCAUUAUAAUGCCUUAAAUAGCACUAUGUGUAUUAGGGACUUAAUACAGUAGUAGAUGAGUGAAUGAGAAGUUAGAGCAUAAACUUUAGUUCAGACCAAAUUAUUGUGAACUUUGAAAUAUUGUAACAGAAAUUAAUAAAGAUGUAAGUCUAUGAUCUUAUAUUACUGUCCUUAAUUAAAUAAUGUGUGUGUGUAAUUAUUAUUGCCGUGGCUACAUGUAAAUGUGACUUAAAAGGUCAAUCACAGUGAACUGCUACAGAAAAAAUGGUAGGAGUGGAUUCAUAACCGUGUAACUUUUUUUCUCUAUACUGAAAGGAAAUAUCAUUUUCUCCCCAAGAUCAGUCUUUGAGUAACUUUGCGGAUCUAGAAUAGUGCCUUGCAAUUGGGGAAGGGAGAAAGGGAAAGUAAACUGAAGAGUUCAGAAGUGACAGUGGUCAGUUACAUAGAGAACAAAGUACUUUGUUAGUUUUCUGGCCAGAUAGAAAAGAACACUUUUCUUGACUGGAGAUGAUUUCUGAGAUGAAAGCUUUCUAAGAUAUGGGGUGCCUGGCCUCCACAUCUAGUUUCUUUGGGAGCCAGAGACAAGAGGGGAUAAAAAGAGAAGCUUGAAGGAGGAGGAAAAGGAGGGGAGGGUACAUGUAGUGGGAAUGAGGGGCAGAGUAGCAGACAUUAUUGCAGAAAAGUGGGGGAGGAAAGAACCAGGCUGGAGGGGCUCCAUAGCCUGGAAGGAAGCAGCCCUCUCCCUACACCAGUAGCUCCCUCAACCUUUGUUCUCCUUCCACCUAGCAUAUUAAUUGCUGUUCAUGAUGAUAAAUCUGACCACUAGUUACAGGGAAUGGGGCUUUUUAACCUAUAUUUUAGGACUUUGCAUCAUAAGCCAAUUAAAAGAGAUGUCUAGUUAUUUAUCAGAAAUAUUUCUAUAAAUACAGAAGCUGUGUAUUUUUUUCCUGACAAUAUCUUAGUUGUUUGGUCCUUUAAGGAACUGAGCUUAGUAGGUAAAUACUCUAGACAGCUGUGUAAAUUUUGUAAAUAAAAAUCAGAAAGCUAACUAUUCAUUUAUGUAGCCAGCAUUCAUUGGCUGGCAAACGUGUCAGAAACUUUGCCAGCCAAUGGAAAUACAAUAAAGAUACUAUGUAGUUCCUACCCUCUUGUAGGAAGCUAUAAUUCUGUCUGAUGGUGCACAUCACUUAUAAAGCACCAUGUCUCAGAGAGGCUGCUUUGGAAAUGACCACUCUCUUCUUGGGAAAUUGGGAUUUCAGAAGGCCUCCUGGAAGAGAUGAAACUUGACUUCUCUGCUAUCUUAAAUUAUUGACUCAAAUGUGAUCUGUUAGCUAAAGCCACAGAGACUGUGUGUCAACAUAGGUGACUGAGGACAGCUCAACUUGGCUGGUGGCUAUACCAUUCAAUCCAUCUGCUCUUCUCUUGCCACCCUGAGUCCGGCUGUAUCUCAAGUGUGAUGCUGGAGUGAAAUGUAAGAGGCACUCUGAAAUUGACCCAGGUCUCUAUACUCUGCAGUCUCUAUACUGUCCUUCUCAUAACUAGUUUUCACUCUUGAUAUCUUUUCCACUAGAAUGUAAGCAGAUUUGUGGGCAAGAUAACCAUAGCAAUAUGGUAGUGGUGAUGGUGAUGAUAAUAUGUAAAAUUCAUGGAGCAUUACUGAACACCAGUAUGUAUGCGUGACCUCAUCUGAUGCCUAUAGGCUCUGCAGCUGGUAGUGGGGUGGAGGGGCUGUCAUUCUCUCCUGACUUAGCAGUGAUGUCAUUGAGACUUAAAGAGGUUAGAUGACCCUCCCAUAUCAGUCAGCAGCACCAGGAGAGAGAUGGUUACUUGUCCUUUUUUUGUGGAUGUGUCCAUACAACUUCCCUGCCACAUGCCCAGCUAAUACAGGUUUUUGUUUGUGGUAAGUAAUAAGCGACAGAUUCUGCUCUGUAGGGUGAGUAAGUUCCAUGGUUUCUCCUCGUUGUGAUUGGUAUACCAUCAGAGUGUCCCCGAUGCCCUUGGGUACUAAGGCAUUGAAAUACACAUCACUGUUUGUCCUUCUGCCUUGCUCUUCUCCUUUCAUUUUACCAGCAAAGACUGUUUUCUUUUGUCAGAGUCUACAGCUCAGCACUCCUGCUUAGUUUCUGCUCUUGGGCAUCACCUCUGUCACUGUGGCUCAUCCCCAGGCCCUUUCAGACACUGAUGGCACCUGCUGAGCCCAGGGUUAACUACUUUCUUUACUCCUCUUUAUUCCUCUACUGUCUUAUAGCGUCUCCAAGUAUGUCUUAGCAGCCACUGCAAGAGGUUGGCCAGCUAGGUAGGCAUUUGUUUUGCUUGACUUGACCAGUCACUCACUGUCAGAGCAUCUUCCUAUUUGUGGCCUUUCUUCUGGGCUUUUCCCUCGGUGGGUGUGGGAGCUCAAGACUGCUACUUUGUUCUCAGAGGUUGUUGUUUGUUUAGUUAUUGUGUACAGCUGCCAAGUUGGAGCUGUUUAAGAACCAUGAUAUCAGAAAGAUGCUUCAUUGCAAUAGUAGCUGUUGAUUAGAAACAAAACAAUCUAUUAAUUUCCUAACUUUAUUAUCAUUUAUGUUCUAUCUCCUUCUAAAAGAAAUUAUGACAAAGUUUUCUUUUUUAAAUGAAUCCCAACUAGCAGUGAUCUCAUACUUUAUUCAUAAUAAAUUUUGUUUGGAUACAUGUAUUUUAUAUUUUUAGCUCUCUGGUUUUGACAGAAUGACUUUCCCCUCCUUUGGGCAAUUUGAAUGUUCUUCUAUUAUGUAGAUACUUAACAUCUGUGAGAGGUUAUAGAUUCUUGAUUUUUACACGAUGGUCUAAGGGAGACAUCUCAGUAUGGACAGGCAGCAUAGCGUGUUUGUCAUUUGUGUGGGCUCUUGAGCAAGAUUUUCUAGAUUGAAGUACAAGCUCUGCCAUAUACUAGUUGUAUGAUCUUAGGCAACUUACAGUCACUGUGCUUCUGUUCUUAUCUGUAAGAUGGCGUUGCAGGGUUGCUGUGGAACGCUAAAUGAGGUCACAUUUCUGAACUGCUUAUAUGGUGCUGGACACACACUAACAAUCUAAGUGUGUCUUCUGUAUCAUGUCUGUGUUUCUCAAGCAGACUUUGAGCAGGUCCAGCUAUGGUAUCUCUUCCCAGUAGCUACAUGGGGCCCAACACAUAGUUUCUACUCAGGUUUGUGAGUAGAUACAUGAAUGUAUAAAUUAACAGCAUACGCUUUACUAAAUUUCCUUAGUUAAUUGUUUUUUAUUUAAUAAGUUGUUCUUCCAAGUUCCAGUUCUCUACUCUUCAGAUGACUCUGCUUUAGUUAUGGGUUUUUUAUUGAUUCAUUAUAAUUACUUUGCUGAUGUUUUUUUUUCUGGCUGUCAUAGCAAGCAGCAGUCAUUAGCUACAAGAAGACUCAGCAAUUUAGUAAGAACUGUCUUGGUUUUGAGUUGUCUACCAAAUAUAACUUAACCUAAGACAGUAAUAUACAUGGUUUCAUUACAAUCUGUAUAUUGUUAAACAUGCAUAAUUUCUAAAUUUAUGCAAACAAACAUUCAUUGCUGUGUGUCUCCUAAUGCUGUACUUGAAAUGAAUUUGCUUUUGGUUUUAAAGGCAUUCAUUUAAUGGUUGGAGUGAACCUUUAAAAUAUUAAUUGCAUCUUGCUUUUAAAAAUUUAGACAUUAAGCCACUCCCAUGAAAACUCAAGUUAUAAAGAACCUAAGAAUUAUUUAAAUAGUUCAGAAAAUAUGAUAUGUAGGCUUCUUUUAAUUCAUAGCAAUAUGUAAAUUAUUGACCCUCUGAAACCCCUUGAUGCUAAGAAAGCAGUUCUCGUUUUCCUCUUCCAUUCGUUGAUACAGCUGAACUGGCAUUUUCUCUUCCCUUUUGUAUAGAAUGGACUUAGGCUGGAAAUGCUUUUGGAUGAUGUGGUACUUGCGUGUGGUGUCAUCUCUGCUAGAGAUGCAGGCCCCUGCCUGUUCUCCUCCUGGCUCUCUCUGGCUGUGGGGCUCACCAGUGCUGAGACAGCUGGAGCUGACUGGAGUCAGCACUGUAAUACACUGUUAGAGGUUGAGGAUAGGUGUGCUUGGUUGAUUUAACACUUUAUUUACCUGGUGAGUUCAGCUUUUGUGGUCUUGGAUGAUUCCUGUGCUUUGUUCAGUAGAAUCAGUCUUCACUGUCCCCUUAGAUAUAAGCCCCUGUGGAGUUCCAAAUCUGUUAGUCCUGUCCUGUGAUUUGGUUGCUCAGGCGGUUCUUGCCCUUGCUAUGGGGAGCCUUGAUACAUGGCUUGUAGGUCCUGCCAUGUUAAUUGACUGUUAGUCUAAUAUCGUAUCUCUGUAUUGUAAGGUUUUCAGGUUACAAACCUCUUAUCUCUUCCUUCUGGGGACCCACUUCCCCCUAAUCUCCCUUAUUUUAGAGUUACUGAAGUAGCAACUAGAACCUUGCAAUAAAUAGCUCUCUCUGCCUUGACAUCAUCUAGCCUUUGGUCUGAUUUUUGAAUAUUUGAUUUGGAUAUUUGACUCUUUUUAAAGUUACACAGUAGCUUGAGGGUGCCCUAAAGAGAACUGCCUCUGGCCAGCAGGCUGGGGUGCUGCUAUUUUUGAAGACAGGCCACCCUAACCUUGCUACACUAGAAGUUUGUGCGCAAGUACCCUGGGACACAAGGUACAUUUGAAUGUGUCUCUGUAAUCACCAGCAAAAGAAGGGGAGUUGGAUCUAAGUUUACUUUUCUUAUGGCAGUAUCUGUUUUGUAAAUCAAUGAAUACCCAUACAUUGUUGCGGCAAAGUUUUUUUUCCAGUUAAAAAUGAUAACUCUUCUAUCUGGUGGUUCUCAACAUGAUGACAGCAUGCAUGUGUGUGUGCUCUUUUUUUCAAUUAACAAUAAAAUAACUCCUCUAAUGCUGAUGCAAUAGGCCGGUGGUUCUCAACCUGACAGCAGGAUGUGUGUGUGUGCACGCAUGUAAAUGAAUAUACAUGCUUGAGUGUGGUUAUAUUAUAUAAUGGAAUCACCAGUGAGACUUUUCCACAAUAAACAUGUCUAGUUUCUACCCACUCCCACACAUUUGGUUUCCCAGGGGUGGUGGCGAGUGUUUGAGUCAUCUACAAGUUCUCAUCUGCUUCCCCUUAUGGUGUCUUUCAGGCACACUCAUGAGAGGGUUGUAAUCAUUUGUCAUGGAUCAUAACAACAAUAUGGAAUACAACCAUAAUAACAUAUACUGAGCAAUUACUGUGAAUCCACUGCACAAUCAGAAACCGUGCCGUGUUUUUAAUGGAUAUUUUUCUCUUGCACUAAGCUAGGGCAUUGACUUCAUAAUUCUACCAUGAUAGUGUUUGAAUUUGAAAUAAAACUUGAAAAAAAUUAUUUUUCUUGGGGGGGGAUGGGAUAGUUGGGUUUCGUAAAUUGAUCAGAGUGUAUUGUUUUUAACUCUACCAGAGAAAUCAAAAUAACUUAUUUACAUAUCUUUGUACUGCAGGCUAGAGCUAACAAAUAUUUAUAAUAUUGUGUGGCACUAUUCAUACUACAUGGCAGAUGAGGAACCUUGGGCAUAGAAAGUUAAAUGAUAUGAUGAUAGGAAUACCUAGUGUUUAAUGUGUGCUUAAUAUGUGCCAGGCACUUUCUAAACACUUUGCAUAUGUUAAUCUAUUUAAUCCUCACAACAAUUCCAGGAAACAUUUACUAUUAUCAUUAUUAUUUUGUAGGUGGGUAAACUGAGUCUUAGAGGUUUAGUACCUAGCCCAUGGUCACCCAGCUGGCAAUCGGCAGAGCCCGGUUCCAAGCCCAGCCUGUCUGGCUCAUGUUGCACAAUUCCCUUGGAAUAAAAUGGGGAUUUGAACUGGGUCUUCUGCUUCAGUACUUUCUCUUAGAGCUACAUUGCCCCGGUUUUUAAAGGGUUUUCUCACUUUUAUUUGGUUUUAAUUUUUUUAGAGACAAGGUCUUGCUUUGUCACUCAAGCUGGAGUGCAAUGGUGGGAUCAUAGCUCACCGUAACCUUGAACACCUGGGUUCAAAGGAUAUUCUCACUUCAGCCUCCUAAGGAGCUGGGACUACAGCAUGUGCCACCACACCUGGCUAAUUUUAAAAAUUGUUUUUUUUUCUUUUCUUUAUGUUUCUCAUGCUGGUCUCAAACUCCUGGCCUCAAGCAGUCCUCCCACCUUGGCCUCCCAAAAUGCUGGGAUUAUAGACAUCAGCCACUGUGCCCAGCCAGUUUUCUCACUUUUAAAUGAUGGUUUGUAAAGAGUGAUACUUUAUUUAGAUCAGUGGCCCUCGUUGGGGGUGGCUUUGUCCCCUAGGACAUUGUGCAAUGUCUAGAGACAAUUUUGGUUAUCACAGCAAGUGAGAAGGUACUUUUGGCAUCUGUUAGAGUGAGGCCAAGGAUGCCGCUAAACAUCUUACAACGUAGUGGACAGCACUACCCACAGCAAAGAAGUGUCAGCCCAAAUGUCGGUAGUACAGAGGCUGAGAAACCCUGUUUUUAGAGUGUUUUGCAUGAUGCCUUUUUCUCUAAGAGGAAUCAAUACUUUAGUGUACAGUUCUGCAAGAUAUUUUUUUAGGCUGAAGAGUAACAAGGAAGCAGGGUAGAGCUGAUACUAAACUUACAUAGGGAGCGUCUUGGCUUUGAGACUCUUCAUCCAUGACUGGAUUAGUUAUUUUAAAAACUCUGCUUGCGUGGACUCACAGGAUCACAAAUUCCAAACUUAAGGACCUUUCAUCUUCUGGAAUAUAGCUGGGCUUGAGGUAUUAUAUGGAGUGUGUGUCUAUGGGCAUCGGUGUGGUGAAUACUUCUUUGUAUAUAUAUAUUUUUUGUGUGUGUUGUACAAGAGUGACUUCAUAAAAGGUGGCUCUUGCCAGAAUUCAGAACACAGCAGGUAAUGUACUUACUGAAGAGGUAAGAGCAUGAGUAAUUCUUGUCUCAUGAGAAAGAUGUAAACUAGUUUAUUAUAAUGAUGUAAUAUUUGGGUGCCUGAUUUAUCAUCCCCAUCUCCAAUGAUGCAAAACCUUAAGAACUACACAGGUGAUAAAAAUUCAAAUGGUGUCUUUGAAGUCCGGCCUAUUCCCCUGAGCAGUUAAAAGUGUCACCUUUGUCCUGAUACGUUGCUGUUUGUGGAUGUUUCCGGAGAUCACGGUUAAAAUCUUGAACUAUGCACUCUACUAUGGGAAGUUUUGGGAUGUUUAUUCCGUGAGAGAGGUCAUAAUCUGGGAAGAUGAGAGUCAUUCAGCUAAUAGGGCAGGAAAAUAUCACAGUCAAGCUGUAGACUUGGGAUGAUGGGAGUAUGGAAGAGAUGAUUCCUCCUGUGUACUGAGGGGAACCAGGAGAGGGAGAGUUGUCAGGAAGCGUGUGGUCUUUGAACUGGAUCUCGUUUUAGGAGAAACUUGAGUUGUCCCGGUUGAGAACCAGCUUAGGCAAAAGUGUGGCCACUUUAGGGCAGGCUGGGGGCGGGGAUAUGAAAGGAAAUCAUCAUCAUCAUCAUCAUCAUCAUCAUCAUCACAACAACAGUAAUAAUCAUAAUCAUGGCCGCCAUUUUGUGAGUACUGCUCUGGGAAGGCACACUCUAGAGGUUUUAAGAUACACUCAUUUAAUCCUUGCAGCAAUCUCAUGGGGUUGGUAUUAUUAUAGCUGUUACAGACAGGAAAUCCAGGGUCUAGUAAGGCCAGGGUCCGGUCCCUCCUGACAGUACUCUUGUGCCCCUCGAGCAGCAGUCCCUUCUGGUUCAUUCUUGGUGGUUCCCAGGGAGCGCGAGGAAUGAUGUCAGCAGAGCCGUGCUGUGACUGGAUGAACACAACCCUGGGAACAAUGCCUUUGGCACAGCUCUUUAAAAAGAAGUAAGUUGGGGCUUCAUCUAAGGAAACUGGCUCUGUUCUACUCAGUCUCGUAGGAAUUCUUAGAAAUGUUGUGACCUGGAAAAUUGGAGAGGUAUGAUUUGAUUAAUUUGCACAUUUAAGUAUGACAGUGUAACUAGAGAGUAAACAAAUGGUAAUUAUGCCACAAAGCUUUCCUCCAAUGGAGAGUCAGGGUCAAGGCAAUCUGGAAUCUUUGGCUUUUCAGAUUAGUUGUGAACAUGGAACAACAAGCUCAUUCCUCCCCUCUACCCAGGGUGGACCCCUGUGUGGGGGAUGGGGAAGUAGUUUUCCUUGCUUGGCUACAAUAGCUUAGAUUACCAUACACUCAUCUCUGACUUAGAUUUUAUACCUUCUUUUCCCCCAUCCUACCCUGUGAAGACAAUUGAAGGCUAGGGUUUGGUUAGGAAAGUAGCAAGUUAAUAAUGUAUCAGAAAGUUGUUGGCAGUUGUGUUUCCUUGAAUGACUCUUCUUUGAAGCUACAUUGUUACAGUGAUGUGUGUAAUUUGACCUACUGUUCAAAAAGAAUUCAUUUCCAUCCCUUCCUUGUUCGUUCAUUCAUCAUGCGUUUAUAGAAGCCAGUCCUUGACCCAGGGGGACCCAUAGUCUAGACUCUGGAGGAGAGCACAAACAUGGGAACCAGUAAGUAUAGCUGUGGAUGUGAAAAGUAAAGAGACAGAAGUAGAGAGCUUCCUUCUAAAGAGAGAGGGGAAAGAGUGGGAGGCAGCCUUUAUUUCUAGGGGUACUUUCUCUCUCUUGUUCCAUCCUCCGUCCUGGACUGAUACCCUCCCUGCCCUUUGCAUCCAUGUUUUUUUUCCCUCUUAUCCAGAGUGAGUCUCCUGGGAAACCCAGGCCUUCUUUCUGGGAGCUCCUCUCUCUUCUUCGUCACUCAUGCCCAGGGUCACACUGGAGCUUCACCACCUUUUUCUGAUACUGAUAAGUUUCUUCAGCUUUGCAUUCUUGCCUCAUUUUUCUGUCAUCUGACCCUAGCCGAUCCUAUCACUUGUUAUGGAGGUAGCUAGAAGCACGUGAGAUAUGGAAAGUGUUGUACUGGAAAAUACACAGCAGAUAUACAAAUAACUCCACCUGGGCGAGGGAGCAUUUUCUUAGGCUGGGUAUCACCUUGGGUUUGAGGUGCACCUUCUCCCUAGGUGUCAUUUUGGAGUCCCCGCCUUCUUAAAAAUGUGCUAUAUAAGUAUUGUCCACGUAUGACCUCAUUAAUUCAUUGAAUAUGGCAGAAUUGAUUGAUUGGGAUUUGGAAGGGCUCUAUAAGAGAGACUGUGAUCUUGUCAAUCUCUCUAAUAACAAUCUGCGUGACACAUACAAUUAAUCCCUUCCUUGGAAAGGAGUUGGGGGAGUAGAAUCAUAAAUUUGGAAGCAAACAUAUCUUUUGUUAAAGUAUAUUUUUAAAUUACAGUACUCAUCUGGAACACAGGUGACAUUUCUAUCAGCAGAAUUUCAAAUUUAUGCAGACUCGUUAUUCUGCUUUGAAAAGCUUUAUUUCCUUUGCUAACUACCAGAUGGGAUAUUAUAGUUAUGAAUCCCUAAUUCUAAUGAAAUACAAGCCAAUAGAUGUAUCACACUACGUUUUUCAAACCAUAGACUAUUACAGGCAUGAAGCACAAGAAGUCUAACCCAUUUUAAACUGAUUAAUUUAAUUAGGAGACAGGUUUGGAGGAACAGAAAAUUGCUUCUUGUUAGUUCUCUGAGCACUGCAGUUAUAAGACUGUAUGCUCUGCUCUAACACAGGUCUGUUCUCUCUGAGGUCAUCUAAUUCUCCUAAAAGGGGUUUUAGAUGCUGAGUUGCAUUUGUAAGUAAAUUCUUUAUUCUUUUUCUACCUUCUUUCUUUUUUAUUCCAUAGUCAUUAAAGCCUUGCCGUGUUCUUGUUAUGAACUGAUAAAUGCUUUGUAAUUACUCUGUAACUAAAAAUGUUAAACUUGAAUGGUUAUAUGGAUUUUUUUUUUAUUUUUUUAAAAACUCACUGGAGAAAGGAACAGUGUUGUGGGGGUAUAAAAAGAAUUCUGACAGAGAAGAGCAGAAAACAGAAACUAGGUGUGGUGGGGGAGGAAUGGCAGAAGUGCCAGGGUCUCUUGGUCCAUGUCUUGAGCAUUUACUGUUUGCCAGCCACCUUUAUGUGGGUUGACCAUAUAUACCAUACCAGGGCUUGAUAUCCCUAAAUCCUCAAAAAACUCCAUGAAAUUGCUACCUGUUUUCAGGAUGCAAAAGCUAAGGCACAAAAAUGUUAGUUAUCUUGCUCAAGGUUACACAGCUAGUAAGGUGGAGACUAAAUUUGAAUCCAGGUGGGAUGAUUGCAUCCUACAAAGUUCUUGACCAGAGAACUAAUGUGGGGUUGGACCCACCCAAGUUCCAGUCCUACUCUGCUGCUUCCCAACAAUGUGACCUUGGGUAAAGUUAUUUUAACCCCUUUGAGACUUUUCCCCAAUUUGUAAGUGGGUUUAAAGCACAGUAUAAGGUUGCCGUGACUUUUAAAUACUGUGAUGUGUAUUAAUGGUUUGGCAUGCAGAAGGAGCUUGGUGAACGUUGCCUUUUUGCCCUUUCAUGUCAUGUCCUGGGGAAGUAGCAGUGACAGCCUGCAGCCUCUGUUCUUCUCGAAUGUUCCCAAGGUAUGAGGCACCUCUGAGAACUCCCAGAGCUCUGCAUAGGUUGCUUAAACGUACAGCCCACUCAAUGAGAUAAUUUCUAAGGUUUCUUCUUGCCCUUAUCUUUAGUGACUCCAAAGUUUAAUUUUCAUAAAUUCAUGUCUACCUAGUUACAUCUUGCAAAGUGUAGGACUGCCUUUGCAGUUGAUCUGUCAGUUUGUGUGUGUGCACAGCUGGAAAAGUGUGUUUUCCAUGUAGAAUGAGAGAAUUUGCCUGGCACUGUCAUUUAUUUUUCUUAAGGAAAGAUAAAAGUUUAGUUCUUUGAUUUCUUUCUUGGGAUUAGUUUUUUCUUGACUAUCAAGAAAGAAGGGAAACAAGUUUGAGUGAAAAUAGAUUGAGGUUCCCCCCCCUCAUUUCACACUAUUAAAAGAGUGACACCCAACUUCUUAGGUUUCUCUUCCACAGCACGGGUGGGUUUUGUAGAUUAAUGUAUGCUACUGAGAUGUUGAGUCAGGGUUGGAUUAGGGAGGAGCUCCCCUCCUUGCAUUUCUCCCACUCUGUCCUUUCAGUCCCUCAACCAGCUAAGUUCAUGCCUGUAGUUGGUUAGAAGGGAGGUUUUCUAUACAGCUUGAGAGAAACAUUUAACAGGGUAUCUUCAUGUUUGUGUAGAUGUCAUUUGCUUCAUUAAAAGCAACAGAGUGACUUUUUAAUGAUUGCCAUUCUAACUGGUGUGAGAUGGUAUCUCAUAGUGGUUUUGAUUUGCAUUUCUCUGAUGGCCAGUGAUGAUGAGCAUUUUUUCAUGUAUUUUUUGGCUGCAUAAAUGUCUUCUUUUGAGAAGUGUCUGUUCAUGUCCUUCGCCCACUUUUUGAAACAACAGGUGCUGGAGAGGAUGUGGAGAAAUAGGAACACUUUUACACUGUUGGUGGGACUGUAAACUAGUUCAACCAUUGUGGAAGUCAGUGUGGCGAUUCCUCAGGGAUCUAGAACUAGAAAUACCAUUUGACCCAGCCAUCCCAUUACUGGGUAUAUACCCAAAUGACUAUAAAUCAUGCUGCUAUAAAGACACAUGCACACGUAUGUUUAUUGCGGCAUUAUUCACAAUAGCAAAGACUUGGAACCAACCCAAAUGUCCAACAAUGAUAGACUGGAUUAAGAAAAUGUGGCACAUAUACACCAUGGAAUACUAUGCAGCCAUAAAAAAUGAUGAGUUCAUGUCCUUUGUAGGGACAUGGAUGAAAUUGGAAACCAUCAUUCUCAGUAAACUAUCUCAAGAACAAAAAACCAAACACCGCAUAUUCUCACUCAUAGGUGGGAAUUGAACAAUGAGAUCACAUGGUCACAGGAAGGGGAAUAUCACACUGUGGGGACUGUGGUGGGGUGGGGGGAGGGGGGAGGGGUAGCAUUGGGAGAUAUACCUAAUGCUAGAUGACGAGUUAGUGGGUGCAGCGCACCAGCAUGGCACAUGUAUACAUAUGUAACUAACCUGCACAAUGUGCACAUGUACCCUAAAACUUAAAGUAUAAAAAAAAAAAAAAAAAAAAAAGCAACAGAGUGUAUACCUGUGACAUUUACUAAUGUGUGAGGUGUCUGAGGACCACCUGCGUGAGAAUCCCCUCGGGUUAUUACAUAAAGAGAUUCCUGGCCCACUACAGACCCACAGAAUCAAACUUGUAGUGUCAUUAUUUUGUGAUGUGAAAAUAUUCUUUUCGUGUAUUGAUCAAACCUCUGUUUGAGAAGCAACCAUGCAAACUUAUCACAUCAUUUGACCUUGUUCAGAUCUUGGUGCACACAUUUUCAGGGCUAAUUUUCUCCCACUGCAGCUUGCUGCUGCCAGUGAGGGCCUGCUUGCCCAAGUUCCUGGUGACCUCACUGGUAGGCUGGGCUGGGAGUGGUUGGUGACGUUGCCAGGGAGACUGAAGUUGGGGGCAUGCAGCCUGUGAAGCCAGGCAAGGCUGGAGCCAGGAAUUUGUAGUUCACAGAAUUAGAUGCAAGGGUGAGGUGGUUUGUGCUCAGAGGAGAUGAAUUUACCAAUCUUAGUGGGCAGAGGAGAGAAAUGGGAUUCAAAUAACUGAAAGGAGAGGUAGCAGGAGACUCCAAUGUGAUGGGGAUGGAGAUGGGGCAAUAGGGCCAGACCUUGGAUCAGGUCUUUUCCUCAAGGUAUUUAUGGUAUGACUUGACAGUCUAGCUACUGGGAAUUUUUGCGGUAAUUGAAUAUUUAGACAUUGAGUAUAAUGCAUUAUAUGGGUUAAGUGUAUAUAUUGCUUAUAUAAGUAAAGAGUAUAAUUGAAGAUAGCUAGUAACAGCUAAGAGUAUAGCUAGUAAAAACAUACUAGAACUAAAAAUAAGCUCAUUUCUGAAAAAUGCAUCCUUUACUACCCUAUACCUACUAUUUUAGAACAUUCUAGAAAAUGUAAGAAUACACAAGCAUACGUUCUUACAUUCUAGUGCAGUGGUCCCCAAACUUUGCUGCACAAAAGGGCCAUCUGGGUAAUAAUUUUAAAAACAUAAUGAUGUCUGGCUUCUACUCCUAGACAUUCUUAUUUAAAUUCUAUGGGAUAUGAUGUGGACAUUGGGGUUUUAAAAGCUCUCCAGUCCCUCAUUUUAUAGAUGAGAAGAUUCAGGACUAGCAAGAUUGUGAAUUUUUCCAAGGCCACGUGGUUUAAUAGUGGAGACCGGAUUGAAUAAAGAAAGGUCUUCUGACUCUUAGCUCAGGGCCCAGAAACCACUGGGCCUUCCAAACAAAGGGAAUUUAAGACAGGGCAUUGUCGACACAGGUGAUGCAAGAGUUGAAAAGGCAAACUCCAAAUGGUGAGGAACUCAGAGACCAGCAACAGCAGGAAGCAACUGCAUCAUCCGUAGGGUUGGAGAAAUGAUGGGAGCAGGUGGUGUUUCUGGAUCCCAGAGACUGGAGCAACCUUGGAGGGAGCUAGGACCAAGAUGGUAGUGGAAGACUGUGUCUGAUGGGAGCCAAGACUCUAGAGGGGGCUAGAGAUGCCACCUGAAGUGCAUGUGUUGGGUGGAUACCCUUGCUUCUCCCUCUUCCCUCUUGUUUUCUUGUCUUCCACCAAUGCUUCCUAUUGGCCCAGACCAGUUGGGAAGUGUGGUUUCCUUCAGGACAAUGGAGGCAGCAGACCUGAAAACAACCCAGCAGUAACUAGCCCUGUGGUCUUUCUAAUGUACUGAGGUCUUGUGAUUAGAGCAGAACUCCAUUUGGACACUGUUUCUCUUUCUUUCUUCUUUUUCUUUCUUUUCUUCAGAUCUUGCUCUGUUGCCCAGGCUGGAGUGCAGUGGUGCAAUCAUAGCUCACUGUAACCUCGAACUCCUGGGCCUGAAGUGAUCUUCCCAUCUCAGCCUCCUAAGUAGCUGGGACUACAGGUGGAUGCCACCAUGCCUGGCUCUUUUUUUUUUUUUUUUUAAUUUUUUGUGGAGACAGGGUUCAGCUAUAUUGUCCUGGCUGGUCCCAAACUCCUGGCCUCAAGUGAUUUUCCUUCCUUGGCCUCCCAAAGUGCUGGGAUUACAGGCAUGAGACACCACACCAGUCUAAUGGGCAGAUAAUUUCUUAUAUUCCUUUUCAUAAGUGGUGUGAUUGAUAGGCUUCUAGGUUGCUAUAAUAUACGUCUGCACAUUUUCAUUAAUACCUUCUUUCUGUGACGAUUCACCUCUCUCCCAUUCAACAUGUUUACAUUUUUACAUUUUUUAUACUUAAAAUAUAUAUAGUUUUAAAAAUACGCAUUGUAAUCUUAUCUGUGCUAAAUCUUAAACAUUUGUUCCUUUGAAGACUAGUUACUUCCUAGAUAUAUUGCCUAAAGCCAGAUGAUCCUAUGCAUGCAUAUGAGAUGACAGAUCUUACUUUACUAUAUCAUUUAAAAGCAUUUUUAAAGAAAAAUGGAAUUAUAGUACACUGCAUUUUAUUUGUUCUGCCUGAUGGGCCAAGUGCUUUGCACCCAGUGGAGCUGAGCCUUGCCAGCCUGCUGUUAUAACAGUAGCUCCCCUGUAGAGCUCAGCAUUCUUUAGACUUGGCUAAUGAGUCUGAUGUCAUAAAGGGAGCUUUAUUAAAAUAAAUAUGGUACCAUAUUUUCUUUCUAAUGGCAUUCUGAUUAAUUCCAUCAUAAAUGCAUACCUGACACUCUUUUAAUUAAUUGAGAUAGCAAAGGGAUUCCAGCUAGUGAUAUUGAAAGUGUAGACGGUGUUUUCAACAGCAUGUUCCUACCCUGACACCAGUAUCAGUGUUUAGUAUUACUGUAGAUCAGAAUCUGAAGACCUAUGUCUAUUUUAACAUAUGUCACUGAACGGCUGUGAGAGUAAUUAAAGAGUAAUGCUUGCCCCUGUUUUGAGGAUGUAGCUACUUAAACACUAAGAGAUUAAAUGUUGCCGAAGGCUACCAGCAAGGGAGUUGUGGAGGCAGGGUUAGAACUGGUUUCUAAUUUCUAGCCUUUUGCUUAAAUUGCCAACCAUGGGUCCCGGUAAUGUGUUCUGACUUUAUUUUCCUUCAGACUUAAUCUGCGGUUAAUGAUAGCUUUCACAAUCAGAAAGAACAUGUAGGUCUCGAAUUUAUGACUUCCAUAAAUCUACUACUUUCCAACAUACCCACAAGGAUGGUUUGGCAGAGACACAGCUUGUGGUACACCUAUUAUCCUUUAGUUAAUUGGGCUGUUUUUACUAUUUGGGAGAUCCUAUAUUUUAACAUAGUACGUGAAAUAUUAAUAGUAAAUAUGAAAUAUAAAUUUCAAACUUUAAACAUUUUGUACCAUUACCUAAUUUUUAAAAAUGCUUAUGACUAAACCUGCUGAACAUGGCAUGUUCGAAUGAUUAUUUUACUUCUGUGGUCUAUUCCUCUCAGAAACAUUGCCGUCCAGAAAAAUCUAAUGAUUUCUUCUUGUGGAAUAGUGGAAUGCUAGAUAAUGGCACAAAACCAGAUCCUUCAGACUGUAUAAAUGCAAUGUAAAAAUGGAGUGGAAACAUUCAGUUUUAGGAAGUUAGUGACUCUUCAUGUCCUGUAAAAUUGUGUGUAUGCAUGUAUUUUUUUUUAAAUGCCAGGAGGUUUGCCAAUGGGACUAUAGAGGAUAUGCCAGUGAGACAGAGAAGAUAUGACUUAUACAGACAAGCCAGAAUGCUCAUUAUCAGAGGGAUAUUUGUAGGAUAAAUCUUAUCUUUUACAGGACGUAAGAAAGAUAAAGAACUAUUUUAUGGUGGUUAAUUCAGCUCAGAUUGCUGCAUUAUUUAAAACUGUGAGGGAAUCUUUAAAAAAAUUCAAUUUUCUAUUUCCCAUCUACUUUAAUUACUUUCAGCGGGAUUUUAUUCAUUGUAGGCAAUGAAUUGUCCACGGAUAAAUGGAAUUGUUGGUAGUCACUUUCACUUUGGAGCUCUUCUAUAAUCGAAAUAUGAAGAUAUUUGCAUUGCUUUAUGAGGACAUUUAAAUACAAGAAGUAGGUUUUUAUAUUUCAGAUUGAAAGCAAAGAAAGCUACCUCACUGAUUCUAAAUUCACUUUGUAAAAUCUCGAAUUACUGAAAUUAAGUUCAUUCAGCUCAAAUAAGCCAAUUGUUUUCCCUUUGCUCCAAGGGAGAAGAGCAGGCUCUGUACCAUCUUGAUUGGUUUUUUAUUUGCUCAUCCCCUGAUAUGAUUUGGCUGUGUCCCCACCCAAAUCUCAUCCUGAACUAUAGUUCCCAUAAUCCCCACAUGUCAUGGGAGGGACCCAGUGGGAGGUAAUUGAAUCAUGGCGGUAGUUACCUCUAUGCUGUUUUUGUGAUAGUGAAUGGGUUCUUAUGAGAUCUGAUGGUUUAAUAAGGGGUUUUCCUCCCACUUUGCUCUGGACUUCUUGUUGCCACCAUGUGAAGAAGGCCUCCCCAGCCGUGCUGAACUGUGAGUCAAUUAAACCUCUUUCAUUUAUAAAUGACCCAGUCUUGGGUGUGUCUUUAUUAGCAGCAUGAGAAUGGGCUAAUACAUCCCCCUUUUGUAAUACCGUGAGGGAGGGCGUGCAUUAGAAUUGUGGUAUUCCAGUAGGAAAAUGAAUACACCAUAACAAGUCAUGGUAUCUGACUUUAGAACACAAACCAUUUGUUUCUGAUGUUGAUGUGCAGACUGGCUUCCGUGACUUGGACUUGCAUUCUCUUGGUCAUGUCAGAUUUAAGAUUCUUUUAUGCAGAACAAGCUAAACAAUAUCAUGGAGUUAUAGGAACCUAUUUAUUGUACAUGUAAUGAGAUAAAGGUGGCCUGUAAUAAAACAGUGCUUUUUAAUAUUGAAGAUGCUGAAACUCCUGGAGAAGCAGGUAACCUGCGUAUUUAAUUCAAGGACUGAAUCAUAAGAGCUCAUCUUUGGGAAGGAGCUUACCAUCAUUUAAUGCUGGAUUUUUACCUUGCUUCCUACAGAAACUAUUCCCCCCACUUUGAUAUGCAAAUAUUUCCAUUGGGCUUUUGGUUUCUUUUACAGUUUUCCAAGGCACUACAUCAUUGUAUUUGGUAAUUUCACUUUCUUUGUGUAAUUGUUCCUAAUCUUUAUUCUAAAAUCUUAUCCUACAAUAGUUCAAUGAAAGGUGCUUUUCUUUUUCUUUUAAUGUUUGGAAUACUGCACUUAAUGGAGAUUCCCAUGUUUACUUUAAAAAUAUUCAAAUUUUCAGAAAAAUGUAUUCCCCACUUUAUCCAAAUGAAGAGUAGUCACUGCAGAAAUCUUUUUAUUAGAAUCAUAGCAUUAACAUUGGAAAUUAUCUACAUCAGUUCCCGUUCAAUGCAGAAGUCUCUAGGCUUAGUUUUGUAGAGUACAGAGAGGGCUAGGCAUCUGUACUUCAAUCUACAAAUCCUCUUUUCCUCAACAUCCCUCCUAAAAUGUGGUUUCAAGGUGGCUAUGGCCUUGGUUUUCUUUCUUUCUCAAGCUCUUCAGGAUGCCACAUUAAAAAAAAAUUGACAGAUGUGAUAAAAAUUUUGAUGUUAAGACCCGAUAAAUAUUUUUAUAGAUGCCUCACCAGUGUGCUUAAGGGACACCCACGGAAGGUAGACUGGUGGAGGCUUAGGACAGUACUGUCUCCCUCAAGGAGCUGUAUAUACCUGGAAUUAUGGCACAUGCUCACAUGGCAUAGUUAGGACAGAACAUAAGAGAUCUGUGAUUAGGUGGCAAAGCAUAUAAAACAACUACUAGAAAAUGGUCAUGGGAAGGGAGGGGACAGUGUUGAGCCUUGGCAAAUAGAUAUUGGAGCAAAUGAUUUGCAAGGAGACUGAUCUGAUGGAACAGUAUUCAUGUUUGAGGCUGGUAGUAAUAAGAUGGGAUAAAUCAAAUAGGACAAAGUCACUAACAGGCCUCAAAUGUCACUGUGCCGAUUUUGAACUUGACAUUGAAGUUACUGGGAGCCAGUAUGGACUUUCGAGCACUGGUUGACUAAACGAAGGCAGAACUUUUAUCUAUUUCACUUGCUUAGAAUGCCUAGCAAUGUGAAAACAGUUAAAUCUAGAAGACCAAAUAUAGCUGUUGCACAAGGUUCUAGAAGACCAAAUAUAGCUAUUGCAUGAGGUUCUAGGCACUGAGAGCAAGUUUGACCUGAAGAGGUCCAGCUUUGGAUGGAUGGACCAGAAAGGAAAAAAAUCAAAAGGAUUUUUGGUAAUUGGCAACGAUAAAGAGGUUUUGAAUCUAAGAUAACCAUGAGUUUUGGUGCAAAUGGCAAGGACAAUGUUGGUGCCAUUGACAAAAUUAGGGGAAUUAUUUUGUUUCUUAUUUCAGCACUGAAAUAUGGAAAUUUAAUUUGCUUUUGAGCAAAUCAACUUUUUGGCACAGUCCCUUGUUUCAAUACUUAAGACCAGGCCCAGUGAGCAGAUGGGAGAUGGGGACUUGCUUCUGGAGAAUUAGAGCUUUGAGUUCUAGUCUGCCAUUGAUCGAUUACAAUCAAGCAAAUCCCUUCCUCCCUUGAUAUUUCCCACAUAUGAAAUGGGAAGGAUAAUGGGUUUCUGCUUAGAGGGUGAUUGUAUUAGUCUGUUCUGACUGCUAUAACAAAUAUGCCAUUAUUAUCACAAUUCUGAAGGCUGAAAAGCUUAAGAUCAAGGUGGGGGCAGACCCAGGGUCUGGUGAGGGCUUGCUUCCAGGUUUGCAGAUAGCCAUCAUCUCUCUGUCCUCACAGGGUGGAGAGCAGACAAUGAGGAAGGUAGCUCUCUCCUGUCUCUUUUAUAAGGGCACUAAUUCCAUUAUGAGGGCCCCAUCCUUAUGACUUAAUUACCUUCCCAACGCCCUGCCUCCUAAUACAUCCCAUUUGGGAUUUGAUUUCAACAUAUGAAUUCUGGGGAAACACAGAUGCGCAGUUUGUAACAGUGAUUGUAAAGGAUGUGCAAAGAAACGUUGGCAAGAAUGCUGUGCAAAUGGACCUGUCUUUAUGCAUACUCUCCUUUAUUGUUGAUGUGGGUGUUAAAGCCCAUGACCAGUCAUUAAGAACCCUUACUCCACUCUCUUCUGGGCAUAUGGCAAGUGAGAUUCUGACUUUAAUGGCUGGGAUGGGGAGAAAGGAGCUGGGAACAUAUGAGAAGGACCUCUUUGUCUUGUGUCUGUUUCAGCAGCAAGAGAGAAGACAUUGCUUGCAGCCAGAAGGAAAGGGACUGUCUCCAGGAAAAUGUAGCCUUUAGUUAGCAGAACUUACUUUAGAAGGACUAGGACUCAGGCUUUUAAAUAAAGUGUUGAAGUCUCUGUUCAUCUGCAUGUGUGUGUUGAAAGAAUUAGUCAAAAUAUCUGACCUUCACUUUUUAGGACUGAAUCACCAUUCUUUGCUAAAAACCCUGAGUAUGGAGUGAUAAUAACAAGAAUCAAAAGGUGUUUUCAAGUUGUAUAUACAACAUAGAUAGGGUUUUGUUUUAAAGAUAGGCAGUGAGACUUUUUCUGUAUUGUAAUUUUCAUUAGCAUUUUGUAAUAAAUUUAGUAUCUCCAGUUGGGGUUCAAUAACUUAAAAUGAGAAAAAUUGCAAUUUUAAUAAUAAGCACAGGUUGAUUGCCUACUUUGUCUUUUGUAUUAAAAUGAAUGUUGCAAUUACUGUGUAUUAAUACCCAGCAAACUAUGUUUCUUUUUCAUCUGGAACUAGAAAGUAUUACUUCUAAACAGGCACACACAAUUUAUCCUUGUAAAUAAAAUAAUUCUAAGUGUGCAUGUAUAUGUUUAUUAUGAAGCCAUCUUUCAGAAUGCACCAAAUGGAAGGAGAGAGGAGCUGAUUGUCUUUUAUUGUGGGGCUGACAGAAUGUUUAUUAAUGGCCAUGGAUUUGAAAUGAGCAUCUUACUAAAUGGAAGUCUUUGGCCAACCUCUGACCCUUUUGUCUUAAAGGUUUGAGAACAGAUAAUACGAAAGAAUACCAGCUUUUUUCCAGAUGGCUGCAUGCCUGAUGUUCCUUUAUGUUUAGCUGUCAUUCAAAUAUGAAUGCCCAGUGAUUAUAAGUGUCUCUUUCUCUUUUCUGGACUGAAAUGAAACCUUUUAUGCAUUGUGUGUUAAAACAGAUUAACUGUUUGGCUCAUCAGUAGGGAAAUUAGAACAAUAGCUGCCAAUUCAAUGGUAUAGUAGAAGAAUGUCCUUUGGGGCCAGGGGCUAAGGUUCAUAAGCAAAUGGUAUGUACAAGUGUCAGACUGGGGAAGGACAGACAAGUUAUAAAAAUAAUUCGCCUGAAUUUUAAUUUUAUAACUGCGUUGGAGUAGUAAUAUCUUUUAGAAGCAGGGAGGAUUUAGAUAAAUUUUUACGAACUUUUACAUAUUUUUUAGUUGCUCCAUUAAUAAUUUCUUGGAGUGCUGUUGUACACGAUGAAUUUAAAAUGAUGGAUUUAUAGAUAAUGUGUCUUAUGAAGACAUAAUGCAGAAUUACUGUAUGUUUCCUUAACUUUUUAGUGUGCUAAAGUUGUCUUUUAAAUAUAUGUAUUUCAUAAGGUAGAAUAAUGGAUAAUUUGAAUGUCAUUUUUCUACCAAUACUAACACUUUUGUAAUCUGAAAUGGAAGUCAAGGUGGACAGCUAUCAUUUAGGUAUGGUUGCAAUGCAGACCUGCCCGGAGGGCAAGGGGAAAACUGGUGACCCCUCAGUGACCUUUGUAGGAGAUGGCUGGAGGCCAAAGGUCUGAGGGGACCAACCGCAUCAAUUUAGGAAACUAGAGUACUUUACAAAAUGCUAGACAAACUCACAUUGUUAGCUCUGAGUAGUAAGGUGGCUGUCAUUUUCCAUGGAAAUCCAUAGAAUGAGGAAACUACAGUAGUCUUAUGACCUAGUGGACGAAAAAGAGCACAUGUGAGCUUAUUUAACCCCUAUGUAAAGAGAUUAUUUUGGUAACAAGAGGUACUUUUUAUGUAUUGUUUAUAGAAAAGCACAAAGGAAAGCCUACCAUGAAAUUCUGUUGUUUUAAUAACAAUUGUGUUUUCUAAAACAUCCAAAGAUGAAAAUAGGCUUAAAUAAAAUAGGCAGCUAUACCACUUUGUAAAACUUAUUGUCAUAGUAUAUUUUUGAUAUUUUCACAUUUUGUUUUGUAUUAUACUUUUUAAAAUGAUUUUAUGCCCAGCUAAUUUUUAUAACAGCUUUAUUGGUGUAUAAUUCACAUCCUAAACAAUUCACCCAUUAAAAAAUGCAGAAAUCAAUGACUUUUAUUAUAUUCUCAGAGUAUUUGCAUCCAUCACUACACAGUUUUGGAAUGCUCUCAUACAUUCUUCCCCAAAGAAACCCCACUCUUCUUACCAGUUAUCCCCUAUUCCCACCAGCCCUUGACAAUUACUAGUCUACUUUUGGUACUUUUGGUCCCUAUGAAGUUGCCCACUCUGGACAUUUCAUAUAAAUGGAAUUGUACAAUCAAUAUGUGGUCCUUUGUGAUUAGCUUCUUUCAGUUGAAAUGUUUUCAAGGUUCAACCAUGUUGUAGCAUGUGUCAGUAUUUAUUCCCUUUUAUGGCUGAAUAAAUUCUAUUGUAUGGAUAUGCCA